GACGAACGCUGGCGGCGUGCUUAACACAUGCAAGUCGAACGGAAAGGCCCUGCUUUUGGGGGGUGCGCGAGUGGCGAACGGGUGAGUAACACGUGAGUAACCUGCCCUUGACUUUGGGAUAACUUCAGGAAACUGGGGCUAAUACCGGAUAGGAGCUCCUGCUGCAUGGUGGGGGUUGGAAAGUUUCGGCGGUUGGGGAUGGAGUUGCGGCUUUUGAGCUUGCUGGUGGGGUUGUGGCUUACCAAGGCUUUGACGGGUAGCUGGACUGGGAGGGUGACCGGCCUAAUUGGGACUAGGAUACGGCGUAGAGUGCUAUGUGAGUCAGGCGUGGGGAGGAGGGCACGCUGGGGCGAAGCCUGAUGCAGCAAUGUCGAGAUCGUGAUGACGGCCUUCAAGUUGUGAACCGCGUGGGACUGAAACGGAGGUGCAUUGAAGGUAUUGGAUAACUAAGCACAGGCUAACUACGUG
rnacentral:rRNA from 1 species